CCUACGGGUGGCAGCAGUGAGGAAUAUUGGUCAAUGGGCGGAAGCCUGAACCAGCCAAGUAGCGUGCGGGAUGAAGGCCCUACGGGUCGUAAACCGCUUUUGCACGGGGAUAACACCCUCCACUUGUGGAGGUCUGCAGGUACCGUGCGAAUAAGGGCCGGCUAAUUCCGUGCCAGCAGCCGCGGUAAUACGUAGGGGGCAAGCGUUAUCCGGAUUUACUGGGUGUAAAGGGAGCGUAGACGGCGCUGCAAGUCCGGAGUGAAAGCCCAUGGCUUAACCAUGGUACUGCUCUGGAAACUGUGGAGCUUGAGUGCGGGAGGGGCAGGCGGAAUUCCUAGUGUAGCGGUGAAAUGCGUAGAUAUUAGGAGGAACACCGGCGGCGAAGGCGGCCUGCUGGACCGUAACUGACGUUGAGGCUCGAAAGCGUGGGGAGCAAACAGGAUUAGAUACCCGAGUAGUC
rnacentral:rRNA from 1 species